GGUGAGGUGGCCGAGUGGUUAAGGCGCUGUGUUCAGGUCGCAGUGGAGUUUCCGCAUGGGUUCGAAUCCCAUCCUCAUCA